ACGAAAAAUGCGAGAAAACUCUGUGGCUAACAAAAGAAAUGUUGCACUACUUGUAUGUAAACCAAGGACACGAAAUGAAGAUCAGAUGAACAUUACUGCAGUCGAAGUUUUGGAACAUGAACGUCCUACAGCGUCUCAAGAUCAGAUGUA